UGCAACAAAACUUUCUUUUGUUUUUAUUCAGGGACAGGAGCAGCAGUUUGGUUUAACACUCCAAUGAGUGUCACCCUUUUUUUUCCUCUCCCCAUUUCCGGUCUAAACUAUCUGUCUUUGUUAAACCUGGUUAAAACUAAACCCAGGGUCAAUCUGAUUUUAACUAAUUCUUACUCUACUGUUAGUCAUGUAUGCUAUGUUUGCUUCAGCUAAUAAACCCUGGCUUACAGAAUUAAGAAUAGACUGCCUAAAAACCCAACACCCUUCAUGUUCCACUGGUGAUGAAAUAUAAUCUUACAUUUCACCAUAUACAAAUGCACAGUGGAGUGAACAUGGACUUCAGACAGAAUAAGAGCUCUGUUUUGCUGUAGGUGAAGCAAAAACAUCUUAAAGGAAACAUAUAUAAUUGCUAUGCCCAACUCAAGGAUUGUCUAGAAACAAUUGUGCUUUCUUAGGUGGCUGGAUGUAUAGUUACGAAGUAAAUAAAUGUUUUUCACUAAAAGCAGGAGAGUAAUUGCAGUGGCUGACUGUCUGCAGAGCAGAGAAUUUGUUAAGCAGCAGAAAGUGCCUGGUGUGACUUCUGCCCUGCACUCAGAUGACAAAAUUGUCUCUCCAACAAUGUCUAUUCUGCGUGUCUUCCAGUGAUGUAUUUGUCAUUCUCCUGCUUAAGCAUCCUCAUGAGAGUGUGUCCAUGUCAGGCUUGAGAAACCUGAAGUGGGGGCACUUCAACUGAUGGGAUCCAUCAAUAUACAUCAAGAUAUUCAGGGAGAUAACAAGCACUGCAAUGUGUUGCCUUUUAUUGGUAACUUCUUCCACUGUUUUCCAUUAGCAACCACUCAGGCUGUCUCUUUUCACCUAGGGGUCUUUCGGUGUGAGUGAUGGAGCACAGUGCAGUACAGCAGAAAUUCCUGGAAGAAAAGCAAGCAGAAGAGUGUGAUUAGCAAUUCUGCUUAGGUUUCUGGCUUCUGUUACAAGGAUGAAAAUUUCAGACAUAUGUUUGGAAAUACUGAAGGAUGUGCAUAAUUUGAAGAGAAUGGAACAUGAAAGUACAUUUGAGACUGAAGUUCAAGUGUCACCUUCAAGACUAGAUGGCUGAGCCCACAACUCCUACCUGUCUGUGAAGCUUCUCAGGAAACUCCAAAGGACACCUGGGGCUGAAGCAUCCCUCUUCCUCACAUGAGGAAGAAGGACACAGAAUGCUGGUUGGUAGUGACUGCAAGAAUUAAGACUUGAAAUUUGUAUUCAUUCCCUUCAGAAGCACACAGCAGAAGCUGUCUCUUCUCACGUGGACAUUCCAGCUGGAGAGUGAGAGUGUAGGCAGAGCCACACAGCAAUGAGAGCCAGUGCCACCCCUGUCCUGUGCAUCAGGAUGAACAGAGACACCCUCUGCACCCACUCUGCAGGGGGAAUCAAAGUGCAGAAACCUGGUGCACAGGGAGAGCUGCAAGAGGAUUUUAAAAUCAAUUUUUGGUGUGAAUUUGGGGAGUUAAAAACUGUUGUGUUUUUUUUUUCCUGACAAAGUAGGUGAAGUGCUAAGAAGUAAGCAAAUUUGUGUUUUGUAGUAAUAAAUAUACAUAGAUAACCUGAGGGUAAAACAAAGAGUUUGGUAUUUUCCAGCUCUUUGAUAUUAAAAGUAUGCUCAGU